rnacentral:rRNA from 1 species
UACGGAGGAUCCAAGCGUUAUCAGGAUUUAUUGGGUUUAAAGGGUGCGUAGGCGGCUUUUUAAGUCAGGGGUGAAAGACGGUAGCUUAACUAUCGCAGUGCCUUUGAUACUGAAGAGCUUGAAUGGACUAGAGGUAGGCGGAAUGUGACAAGUAGCGGUGAAAUGCAUAGAUAUGUCACAGAACACCAAUUGCGAAGGCAGCUUACUAUGGUUUAAUUGACGCUGAGGCACGAAAGCGGGGGGAUCAAA